rnacentral:lncRNA from 1 species
AGUCUUCCCCUCCCCUUCCCCUCUGCUCCCCAGUAAACACAAACACACAUGGACAAGGCAUGCGCUGCCCUGAAGGAAAGCCCCCUUCUGGUUGGGGGCUGCAGAGGGGGUGUCAGAGACAAGAUCAAAAGUGCCACACCAGAGGUUCCUCCACACCUCUGAACCCCAUUCUUACUCCCCUCCUCACUCUUCCUCCCUGUGCUGGACUCACCUUCAACUUCCUGGUGAGGACAGCAAGAGGAGCUGGCACUUGGUUGGGGGUAGAGUGUUGUUUUUUGUUUUGGAAUAAACAGCUGUUUUCCUGA